rfam:Picea glauca, whole genome shotgun sequence.
AUGGGUUAAUAUUCCCGAACCGAGACAUGGUGGUGGACGACAAUGUUAGGAAAUCUUGAGAUGUCAUCAGGGGCCUGGGAAGAGUUAUCUUUUCUUUUUAAAGACUUUCCCACCCUGAAAUCAGUUCAACCAGAGAUAGGGUCCAACAUCUGGAAGAGCACCACACGUCUUGCGGUGUUUCGUGCCCCCUUGGUGGCCAUUGAAAAUAUGGAGAACCGAGUACCAUCCAUGCCCGAUCGUACUCAUAUCUACCUCCUUGU